UUGCUUUGGCAGCACAGAUACUAAAAUUGGAACAAUGCUGAGAAGAUUAGCAUGGCCCCUGAGCAAGGGUGACAUGAAAAUUUGUGAAGCAUUCCAUAUUUUU